GACAGAGGUCCCGAGCGUUGUUCGGAUUCAUUGGGCGUAAAGGGUGUGUAGGAGGCCAGGUAAGUCAGGUGUGAAAUCUCAGAGCUUAACUCUGAAACUGCGCUUGAUACUGCUUGGCUAGAGGAUCGGAGGGGGUAUCGGAAUUUAUGGUGUAGCAGUGAAAUGCGUAGAUAUCAUAAGGAACACCGGUGGCGAAGGCGGAUACCUGGACGGCUAUUGACGCUGAGACGCGAAAGCGUGGGGAGCAAACAGG
rnacentral:rRNA from 1 species